GUGCCAGCAGCCGCGGUAAUACAGAGGGUGCGAGCGUUGUUCGGAAUUAUUGGGCGUAAAGCGCGAGUAGGCGGUCUGUUAAGUCGCGUGUGAAAGCUCCCAGCUCAACUGGGAAAGUGCGCGCGAAACUGGUGGACUUGAGUGCUGGAGAGGGUGGCGGAAUUCCCGGUGUAGAGGUGAAAUUCGUAGAUAUCGGGAGGAACACCAGAGGCGAAGGCGGCCACCUGGAAAGACACUGACGCUGAGAAGCGAAAGCGUGGGGAGCAAACAGGAUUAGAUACCCUCGUAGUCC
rnacentral:rRNA from 1 species